rnacentral:tRNA from 1 species
GGGAGCGACAGCGGGAAAGCUGGGCACUGACUGUAAAUCAGUAGCAUGUUGGAGUUCGAAUCUCUCCGGUCCCA